UUCUCGCCCUCUUCCCUCAACUCUAUCUCACUCGAUCGUCUCUCUCUCACUGUUUUCCUCGCGAGCUCCGCCGUGAGCUGCUCCGGCGACCACAGGACAGCCAUGGCCGCCGCCCUUCUCUCCAUCUCACUCUCCAUCGUUGGCCGGACAGCAGCAGCAAAGCCGCCGUUGCCGGCGCCUCCCUCUGCUCACUCCUCUUCUCCCUUCCUCCCUCGGCCAUCUCCCUUUCUCUCGGACUCACGGUCACUGGGGCUACCUCCUCCGUCGUCCGUCUGGCUGGAAUCGCGGUGGAGGCCGAGCCUUGCCUCGCCGGAAAGGAACAGCCCGUUGCUCCCGCCGCCGUGUCGCCGCUGCCGAUGCCGCCGCGUCGUCGUCACCGGAGAAGAUAAGUCCUCCCCUCCCUCUCUUCUUCCUUUCCCCUUUUUUUUCUUUAACCUAAUCUCUCUCUCUCUCGGUUGUUUCAGACAGAAAAAGGAAAAAGGCGGUGGCUUGCCGCCGCGCCGCCUUCGGCCGUGAGCAGCCGCCGCCUGCUCUCACCCCCAUUACUCCGUUCCCGGACACACAUACAAGACAGAGUACAAGAACCCCCAAAUUCAGUCCAGAUUCACAAGUAUAGCAAAGCUAGGGUUUUGUUUAGAAAUCUGUUCUUUCAUCAUUCAUUUAUCAUUUUCUUAGCAAAAAUCAAACCUUGUAAAUGUAAUAGUUUAGAAAAUAUAUUAACAUGUGUGCGUGCGUAUUCUUCUGUUC